GCCUGCCUUGUGUGGCCAGGAUGUAAUAAGAAUGAAAUGAAGCCUGGGACAGCAACAUCAUCAACCAUAGAGCUCUAUGAAUGUCAGGCUACGUGGGCCACCUUCUGCCAUACAGAGCAUGCUCGAUCCUUAGAAGCCUAGACCUCCAUUUACAAGCACAGGACUCCAAGCCUUGCGGACUUAGAGAAGGGUGGAGCCUGAAGGAUGACUAAGAAAGUCAAGCCAAGAGAGAGCCUCCGAAUGCCAUGCCCAGGUCUGGACCAUAUGGCCAUCAUCACAGAAACCCAGGAAGCCAUCUCUGCAGAGUACACUUGCCCCAGCCCUCCAUCUUUUGGGACUCAGAUCCUCUGGCCCCAAGCUUGAGUGCUCAGCCCUGAAUCAGCCCAUCCAGUUAGCCCUCUACGCAGCUGCCUCAGGCCAGAGACUCUUCUGCAACCCCAGUGGCCUCCAGAGUAUUCCAGUGUUCAGUACAGACUGCUGCUGCCCUGAGUCACAAGCAUUGAUCACGUCAUUAACUCCCCGCAUGAAUUCUUCGAUUCAGUACUCACAGCCAUCUCAGUGUUAGGCUUGGCAUUCCCAGCCUGUAGAUGGGAAACCCGAGGCCCAGAGAGAAGCACAACUUGCCAAGGCACCCAGCUGCCAUUUAGGAUGGCCGUCACCCAGCUCCCUCUGGCUCUCCAACUUAAAUCCAACACCCUGCCAUCCCCAGCUUCGAGUGGAGAACGAAGGGUACUGUGAGCUGGCUCCUGGCAUCAGAGCUGGACUUGGCACGGACAGACGUCUUCCAGAAACACAGCUGUGUGGAAGAGGCAACAGCUGUCCCUUCAUUUGCCGCUGACACGGCCACACACGGUAAAACACCUGAGGAAAGGCUCCCUGGCUCUCAAACACCAGAGAGAGUAAAAAAUGUAUUAAUCAA